GGAACUUCUCAGAAGAACGUCUAGCACUCAAAAAAUGUCAAAGUUUUCUUUCUUUCGUAUUUUAAUUUGUGUCUGGUUUUGAUGUUUCCCCAAUACUUCUCAGGUAUACCUUGGGAUCAAAAAUCAGCAUGGUGAUUUUUGGCGAUGGUCACUGUGAUGGUUAAUAUUAAUUCUCAACUUGAUUGGAGUGAAGGAUGCAAAGCAUUAUUCCUGGAUGUGUCUGUUAACAUCUGACUGGGAGAGGCAGACCCACUCUCAAACUGGGUGGGCGCCGUCUAAUCAGCUGCCAGCACGGCUAGGAUAAAAGCAGCCAGAAGAACAUGAAAAGACUAGACUGGCUGAGUCUUCCAGCCUCAUCUUUCUCCUGUGCUGGAUGCUUCCUGUCCUGGAACAUCGGACUCCAAGUUCUUCUGUUUUUGGACUCUUGGACUCACACCAGCGGUUUGCCAGGGGCUGUCAGGCCUUCGGCCACAGACUGAAGGCUGCACUGUUGGCUUCCCUACUUUUGAGGUUUUGGAACUUGGACUGACUUCCUGGCUCCUCAGCAUGCAGACGGCCUAUUGUGGGACUUCACCUUGUGAUCGUGUGUUUUUAUGUCCUCAGAGAGGUGAUGGUUAAAAGUCAAAAACAAGCAACACCUGCAGCCAAAAAGAACAGUAGACAAAUUCCUGAAUCCAAUACGGUUUCAUCCUUCAAGGAUGAGGAAACUGACGCUCAGGGAAAUGAAG